rnacentral:ncRNA from 1 species
AAACUGAAGAGUUUGAUCCUGGCUCAGAUUGAACGCUGGCGGCAUGCCUUACACAUGCAAGUCGAACGGCAGCACGGGUGCUUGCACCUGGUGGCGAGUGGCGAACGGGUGAGUAAUACAUCGGAACAUGUCCUGUAGUGGGGGAUAGCCCGGCGAAAGCCGGAUUAAUACCGCAUACGAUCUACGGAUGAAAGCGGGGGACCUUCGGGCCUCG